UCGUGUGCUGUCCGCGGAAGGACAUUU
rnacentral:rRNA from 1 species